rnacentral:rRNA from 1 species
AGGGUUUGAUUAUGGCUCAGAACGUACGCUGGCGGCACGCCUAACACAUGCAAGUCGAACGAAGUAGCAAUACUUAGUGGCAGACGGGUGAGUAACAUGUAGGUAUCUGCCCUUUGGCCUGGAAUAACACGAGGAAACUUGUGCUAAUACCGGAUAAGUCUUUACGGAGAAAGCUUUAUGCACCAUUGGAUGAGCCUGCACUUGAUUAGUUUGUUGGUGGGGUAAUGGCCUACCAAGACUGUGAUCAAUAGCUGAUUUGAGAGGAUGAUCAGCCACAUUGGGACUGAGACACGGCCCAAACUCCUACGGGAGGCAGCAGUGGGGAAUCUUGCACAAUGGAGGAAACUCUGAUGCAGCGAUGCCGCGUGAGUGAAGAAGGCCCUUGGGUUGUAAAGCUCUUUCGUCGGGGAAGAAAAUGACUGUACCCGAAUAAGAAGGUCCGGCUAACUUCGUGCCAGCCGCCGCGGUAAUAC